GAUGAACGCUGGCGGCGUGCCUAAUACAUGCAAGUCGAGCGAACGGACGAGAAGCUUGCUCCUCUGACGUUAGCGGCGGACGGGUGAGUAACACGUGGAUAACCUACCUAUAAGACUGGGAUAACUUCGGGAAACCGGAGCUAAUACCGGAUAAUAUAUUGAACCGCAUGGUUCAAUAGUGAAAGACGGUUUUGCUGUCACUUAUAGAUGGAUCCGCGCCGCAUUAGCUAGUUGGUAAGGUAACGGCUUACCAAGGCAACGAUGCAUAGCCGACCUGAGAGGGUGGUCGGCCCCCCUGGCACUGAGACACGGUCCAGACUCCUACGGGGGGCCGCCGUAGGGAAUCUUCCGCAAUGGGCGAAAGCCUGACGGAGCAACGCCGCGUGAGUGAUGAAGGUCUUCGGAUCGUAAAACUCUGUUAUUAGGGAAGAACAAAUGUGUAAGUAACUAUGCACGUCUUGACGGUACCUAAUCCGAAAGCCACGGCUAACUACCUG
rnacentral:rRNA from 1 species